AUUGAACGCUGGCGGCGUGCUUAACACAUGCAAGUCGAUCGGUAACGCGGGGGCAACCCUGGCGACGAGAGGCGGACGGGUGAGGAACGCUUGGGAAUCUGCCUACCAGCGGGGGACAACCCGGGGAAACUCGGGCUAAUACCGCAUACGCUCUACGGAGGAAAGCCGGGGACCGCAAGGCCUGGCACUGACAGAUGAGCUCAAGUCGGAUUAGCUAGUUGGCGGGGUAACGGACCACCAAGGCGACGAUCCGUAGCUGGUCUGAGAGGACGAUCAGCCACACUGGGACUGAGACACGGCCCAGACUCCUACGGGAGGCAGCAGUGGGGAAUAUUGGACAAUGGGGGAAACCCUGAUCCAGCGACGCCGCGUGGGUGAAGAAGGCCUGCGGGUUGUAAAGCCCUUUCGGUAGGGACGAAAGCUCUCGACCUAACACGUCGGGAGGUUGACUUAACCUACAAAAGAAGCACCGGCUAACUCUGUGCCAGCAGCCGCCGUAACAC
rnacentral:rRNA from 1 species